CACGUAGGGGGCGAGCGUUGUCCGGAUUUAUUGGGCGUAAAGAGCUCGUAGGCGGCUGAGUAAGUCGGGUGUGAAAACUCCAGGCUCAACCUGGAGACGCCACCCGAUACUGCUCUGGCUAGAGUCCGGUAGAGGAGUGUGGAAUUCCCAGUGUAGCGGUGAAAUGCAUAGAUAUUGGGAGGAACACCAAUGGCGAAGGCAGCACUCUGGGCCGGUACUGACGCUGAGGAGCGAAAGCGUGGGGAGCGAACAGG
rnacentral:rRNA from 1 species